rnacentral:rRNA from 1 species
ACGGAGGGUGCAAGCGUUAUCCGGAUUCACUGGGUUUAAAGGGUGCGUAGGAGGGCAGGUAAGUCAGUGGUGAAAUCUCCGAGCUUAACUUGGAAACUGCCGUUGAUACUAUCUGUCUUGAAUAUUGUGGAGGUGAGCGGAAUAUGUCAUGUAGCGGUGAAAUGCAUAGAUAUCAUCAAGAAUACCGAUUGCGAAGGCAGUUUACUAAGCUUUAACUGACACUGAGGCACGAAAGUGUGGGGAUCAAACAGGA